GAACUAUAAAAAUGUCACCUUUCUGUAAUAGCUGAGUAGGAAGGCUGCUACUUAGGUAUGACAAUCUUUUUUGUUUUUCAUCUGUUAGUCUUUGACAGUACCUUUUUUUUUUUCUUUUUAAGUUAGUGACUAGGAUGACUCUUCUGCAUUAUAUUCAGAAGAGCUGACUAUUCUUGUAAGAGUAGUGAAAUUCAACAUGAUCUUUACUAGCUGGAUAAACAAGCUAGACAAGAUUGGAUAACUGAUAGAAUCAGAUACCGAGAUGGGAUGCAGCUGGCAAAGCUGCCAAGUGUGUCUGUCUAUCUGACAAACGUUAGGUUACCAGCUCCAUGAGCGCCUUAUCACUUAGCACUGCACCAGACACACAAUAACGUCAAAGACAGAGAAACUGCUCUGACAUCCAUCUAGACUCUUCUUUCGAUCUGAAGCUUUGAAGAAGUACAAGAUGUUGAAGGGGCUACUGUCCAUUGUUAUCUCUCCUACGUAAGCAUGGGAGAAAGCACUCUCACCGCCACCUUACCACUU